UAUAAGUGAUGAUCGAUGGUAAAGGGUUAUAUAUUUAUUUUUUACUAUCGAAAAUAAGUUUUAUAUAUAUAUAUAUAUAUAUUCUUUAUUUUACUUUCUUAAUAUUCAUUUUCCUACCGUUAUACUUGUGGAUUCAAAAUACCGCUCAAUCGUUAAAUCCCUCUCCAAAGCUUAAAAACGACACAUGGCAUGACCUGCACAAAAAUAACCGGCAUCAUUUUUUAGUUUUAUAAACCCUACCCAACCCAACUUCUUAACCCACCUCUAUCCGAAUCCCCCUUGUUGCAGAAGAUGAUGCACUUGUUUUAUGAGAAAAAAAAAUUGGAAGUAAUUUGUUGGAUUUCAAAAUACUAAUACCUCAAUUUAUUCACACACACAAAAAAAAGGACUUAAACUUAUCCCGAAGAAUGAUGGAUGAGAAAUAUGAGAAUUAAACUAAACAAGAACAUCGCUUACAAAUUGAUAAUUCAUAAGUAGAAAUUUAUAAAAUUUAUUUUCAUAUUUUUCUUGAAUAAGAAAAACACAAAUCCAACUACAAAUAUAUCUAGAUUUAAAUUUCUGAAGUCUUUUUGCCUUUGAAGGUAUUGAAAACCACAUUAAAACAUCACAAACACAAAAAAGUAUUAUGACAUUUCUUGUCAUCAAAAAGAGAAUACCAAUGCUUUAGUAAGUGUACUAAUGAUUUGUGAAAAUAAAGAAGAGAAAAAUCAAGAGAAUCUUCUUUAUCAUCAGCAGCGAAGAAGAGUUCAUUAAGGAAUAAAGCCACAUUUUAUGUCAGAUAUUGCUACUAUUAUUCUGAAUUAUCACUGAAAUAAAACAAAGAUAAUAAGGGAAUGAGAAUGAUUUAAGUACGGAGAUUUCGGAUGGGGUGAAUAAAUAAGUUGGAUUGGAUGGGGUUUAAUAAAAAGUGAAUGUAGGACAAAUAUUUGAAUGUUCACUAGGGUUAGCAGGGAGUCUGCUAGUCAGACAUUAACGAAUAGCACCUUUUGAUGAGAGAUAUGAACAAGAAGCUUCGAGAAAAUUUGUAUAUUCUGAAUUAUAUGAAGCCAGUAAGCAAACAACGAAUCCAUGGGUAUUUG
rnacentral:lncRNA from 1 species